rnacentral:rRNA from 1 species
GACGUAGGGGGCCAGCGUUGCUCGGAAUUACUGGGCGUAAAGGGUUCGUAGGCGGUGCGGCAAGUUGGGAGUGAAAUCUCUGGGCUUAACCCAGAGGCUGCUUCCAAAACUGCCGUGCUAGAGUGCGAGAGAGGCCAGUGGAAUUGCAGGUGUAGCGGUGAAAUGCGUAGAUAUCUGGAGGAACACCGGAGGCGAAGGCGGAUCACUGGACUGUCACUGACGCUGAGGCGCGAAAGCUAGGGGAGCAAACAGG